rnacentral:rRNA from 1 species
AUGGCUCGGCCCGACGAGGUUUGUUUUUUAUGGUCACACAGACGGAUUGGAGAUGGGCAGAGGGCCGAGAUAUUGGCCAUGGAAGCGGCCGGGAUAAGAAAGCAUAUUAUAAUGGACAACUUCAUCAGCAGAUACGGUUCGUACGAUAAGUGCGGGCUUAUCCGGAGGGACAUUUACAAUCUUUGUUGCAGAGACAAAAUGAGGCUCAUUGCAAAGGGUGAUGCAGAGACGGCAGUUGGCAUUAUGAGGAGUAGGAAGGAGAAGGACCCUGAGUUUUUUUUUGAGUAUGUGCGUGACAAGGAAGGGCGACUGAAGAGUAUGUUCUGGUGCGAUGCACAGUCGCGGAGGGACUAUCAGGAC